CCUACGGGAGGCAGCAGUGAGGAAUAUUGGUCAAUGGGCGUAAGCCUGAACCAGCCAAGUCGCGUGAGGGAUGAAGGUUCUAUGGAUCGUAAACCUCUUUUAUAAGGGAAUAAAGUGUGGGACGUGUCCUGUUUUGUAUGUACCUUAUGAAUAAGGAUCGGCUAACUCCGUGCCAGCAGCCGCGCUAAUACGGAGGAUCCGAGCGUUAUCCGGAUUUAUUGGGUUUAAAGGGUGCGUAGGCGGCCUUUUAAGUCAGCGGUGAAAGUCUGUGGCUCAACCAUAGAAUUGCCGUUGAAACUGGGAGGCUUGAGUAUGUUUGAGGCAGGCGGAAUGCGUGGUGUAGCGGUCACAUGCUUAGAUAUCACGCAGAACCCCGAUUGCGAAGGCAGCCUGCCAAGCCAUGCCUGACGCUGAUGCACGAACGCGUGGGGAUCAAACAGGAUUAGAUACCCCAGUAGUC
rnacentral:rRNA from 1 species